rnacentral:rRNA from 1 species
AUGUACAUUCCUACAACAUAAUUUUAAUUCACCAUAUCCCAUUAGAACUCCAUAGUUAAGCGUGCUUAGGCUAGAGUAGUAUUGGGAUGGUGACCACUCAGGAAGUCCUAGUGUUUUACAUG